rnacentral:lncRNA from 1 species
GAGCAGGGAGGAGCCCGUGCUGCGUGUGCAGGAAGUGGCCCACUCUGCUCCCUGCUAGGGACCUUAAAGGAGCCUGGGGAAGGGAAGCCUGCCAGCCCUUGUACAAAAUGACGUGGUAGUUGGUACAAGCUUGGGAGAGCUGGAAUUCUUACAACCCUGCAAAGUGAUGUUGGUGCCUUUUAACUGUUGGCUUGAUGCGCUCACCUUCCCAGGGUGCACCUGUCUCAUCCGGGGACCAAGGCGCCUGCUCAGAUCCCACCCCAUUUGUGAAAGAAGCUGGGGACGGGCGGAGGUUUCUCGUUUUGCCAUGGAUCACUCUUAAAGGGGCCCCUGGAGUCUCUGUCAACACAAAAUCAUGUCUACCAAGACAAUGGAGAAAGGAAAGCAGACAGCCCCAACUCCAAAAUGGUUAUACAGUAAUUCCCACUGAAUCUCUCCAAAUGUGUAUUUCAAAUUUGUUGACAGUUCUUUAAGUCCUAGUGUGUUUAUCUGACAAUCUACUUAGCACUAAAAGAUAACCAAAGAAAAAAGCUUCUAUUUCUACUUGCAAAGUGUUUAUUACAUGAAAAAAAA